rnacentral:lncRNA from 12 species
GGGGAGCAAGGAGGCAGGAUGCUCCCAGUCUCUCCACAGGACAGACAGGUGGUUGGGUGGAUGGUGGGACGAGGUAUGUGUUCCGUGAGCCCUGACUCCAUGGCUGCUUACAGAACUCACACCACCCCUUGGUCCACAGGGCUUCUGACCUUUCCUGAGAGCUGAGCACAGUGCACCCCCGCCAGGGCCUCUGCUGCCCCCCUUCAGCCACAGGCCUGCCCUCACCUCUGCUCAACAGCAUGCACCUGUGGCCCAGGACGUGCACAAACCCGCCAGCACAGACACCCUCCAGACAAACAUUGGAUGCUCCAAUUGACUGUUGGCCCCUCUGAGAAGAGAAGAAAAUCCAGAAGUUCCACAUUUGACAACAUGACCUUCUACCUCCCUGGACAGAAGCUGGGGGCCUGGGAGGCAGGAUUGUGAGCGGGAGGAGUCAGUCUGUGCCCCCUGGAGCGCCUGACGCCCCCUCUCCACUGAGCACAGUGUGGACCUGUUGGCACACACCCGGGGCCGAGUGCACAGAGCCUAGGCCCCUCCCCAGGGCUUCCUUCCUUCCUCCCAUGGCCUCAUUGGUCUCAGGAAGGUAGACAGGGACGUGGAAAGGGUGUGAAGGCCUGUGGGGGGGGGGGGCCAUGUGUGCGUCCCGACACUCCACGUGGCCGCCACCGCCAGCACAGGCCCCGCCUUGCCCCACCUGAGUGUGCUGCACCAAACAGCUUGAGACACCUGGUGCCACGGAUGAGAUUAGGAGGGACGGAGAGCGGUGUCACCUGUUGGCCACACCUGGUGACCUUCCUCCUCCAUUCGGUGUGUGUCCUGAGGAUGGAGACACUCGCCCAGGACACAAGGAGCUGGUUGCAGACCUCCCUACACACCCUGCAAGCGGCCACUCAACGGCCACGUACUCGUCUGCAUACUCCACUGAGCUGCUUCUUUGACGGAUCUGCACGCCUUUGAACGUGACGCCUUCCACCCAGGAGCGCGGGGAGCCUCUGCCAAGGUGAUGGCCGUGCCCGUGGGCUCCAACACGGGAAGAGCUCCGUCAGGUUAUCAAUACCCUUUACCAAGUUUAUGCUGUGGGGGCUCGAGAUGUACCCAACACCGUGCAAAUUAAAAUUCUGUUCUCCGUCUGAACCUCUAGGUGCAAACCAGGCCUUUUACUAAAAUUGCACUUAAGUCAAAUCCCAUCCCCACUCACAGUAAUACUGUUUUCAGUUUUCAUCUUGAAAAUUAUUUGCAGACUUGCUGGCUCAUGGUGAAUCUCCAAGUAUUUUGCAAUUCUGCUUUAUUAAGUUAUUUUUGGGGCAAGUUUCUGGCCACUGCCACGAAAACCGAGGGGUGAGUGUGGGGUCGGAGUGGCCGGUGUUUUGCAAGAGAGGCUCUGAGCCCCGGAUGUAGAUGGCUGUGUGGUUGUCUGUGGGUUAGCGGUGACCAUCCCUGGUCCUGUUCCGUCCGUGUCAGAAGAAGAGUUUGUCAUCCAUCUGUCUCUUCUACCUCCUUUCGAAUUUCAAGAGAGAGGUGGAGAAAUGUGAAUCAUGCAAGAGUUUUUAUUCCCAGGGCACGAAGUGCCUCCUCCUCCCAGAGCCAUGGAGCGUUCCAGCAGGUGGGCGAG